ACGAUAUGCUUUGGGGAGCUGUAAGUAAGCUUUGAUCCAGAGAUUUCCGAAUGGGGAAACCCAGCAUGAGUUAUGUCAUGUUAUCGAUAUGUGAAUACAUAGCAUAUCAGAAGGCACACCCGGAGAACUGAAACAUCUUAGUACCCGGAGGAAGAGAAAGAAAAUUCGAUUCCCUUAGUAGCGGCGAGCGAAACGGGAAGAGCCCAAACCAACAAGCUUGCUUGUUGGGGUUGUAGGACACUCUAUACGGAGUUACAAAGGACGACAUUAGACGAAUCAUCUGGAAAGAUGAAUCAAAGAAGGUAAUAAUCCUGUAGUCGAAAAUGUUGUCUCUCUUGAGUGGAUCCUGAGUACGACGGAGCACGUGAAAUUCCGUCGGAAUCUGGGAGGACCAUCUCCUAAGGCUAAAUACUCUCUAGUGACCGAUAGUGAACCAGUACCGUGAGGGAAAGGUGAAAAGCACCCCGGAAGGGGAGUGAAAUAGAACCUGAAACCGUGUGCUUACAAGUAGUCAGAGCCCGUUAAUGGGUGAUGGCGUGCCUUUUGUAGAAUGAACCGGCGAGUUACGAUUUGAUGCAAGGUUAAGCAGUAAAUGUGGAGCCGUAGCGAAAGCGAGUCUGAAUAGGGCGUUUAGUAUUUGGUCGUAGACCCGAAACCAGGUGAUCUACCCUUGGUCAGGUUGAAGUUCAGGUAACACUGAAUGGAGGACCGAACCGACUUACGUUGAAAAGUGAGCGGAUGAACUGAGGGUAGCGGAGAAAUUCCAAUCGAACCUGGAGAUAGCUGGUUCUCUCCGAAAUAGCUUUAGGGCUAGCCUCAAGUGAUGAUUAUUGGAGGUAGAGCACUGUUUGGACGAGGGGCCCCUCUCGGGUUACCGAAUUCAGACAAACUCCGAAUGCCAAUUAAUUUAACUUGGGAGUCAGAACAUGGGUGAUAAGGUCCAUGUUCGAAAGGGAAACAGCCCAGACCACCAGCUAAGGUCCCAAAAUAUAUGUUAAGUGGAAAAGGAUGUGGCGUUGCCCAGACAACUAGGAUGUUGGCUUAGAAGCAGCCAUCAUUUAAAGAGUGCGUAAUAGCUCACUAGUCGAGUGACACUGCGCCGAAAAUGUACCGGGGCUAAACAUAUUACCGAAGCUGUGGAUUGUCCUUUGGACAAUGGUAGGAGAGCGUUCUAAGGGCGUUGAAGCAUGAUCGUAAGGACAUGUGGAGCGCUUAGAAGUGAGAAUGCCGGUGUGAGUAGCGAAAGACGGGUGAGAAUCCCGUCCACCGAUUGACUAAGGUUUCCAGAGGAAGGCUCGUCCGCUCUGGGUUAGUCGGGUCCUAAGCUGAGGCCGACAGGCGUAGGCGAUGGAUAACAGGUUGAUAUUCCUGUACCACCUAUAAUCGUUUUAAUCGAUGGGGGGACGCAGUAGGAUAGGCGAAGCGUGCGAUUGGAUUGCACGUCUAAGCAGUAAGGCUGAGUAUUAGGCAAAUCCGGUACUCGUUAAGGCUGAGCUGUGAUGGGGAGAAGACAUUGUGUCUUCGAGUCGUUGAUUUCACACUGCCGAGAAAAGCCUCUAGAUAGAAAAUAGGUGCCCGUACCGCAAACCGACACAGGUAGUCAAGAUGAGAAUUCUAAGGUGAGCGAGCGAACUCUCGUUAAGGAACUCGGCAAAAUGACCCCGUAACUUCGGGAGAAGGGGUGCUCUUUAGGGUUAACGCCCAGAAGAGCCGCAGUGAAUAGGCCCAAGCGACUGUUUAUCAAAAACACAGGUCUCUGCUAAACCGUAAGGUGAUGUAUAGGGGCUGACGCCUGCCCGGUGCUGGAAGGUUAAGAGGAGUGGUUAGCUUCUGCGAAGCUACGAAUCGAAGCCCCAGUAAACGGCGGCCGUAACUAUAACGGUCCUAAGGUAGCGAAAUUCCUUGUCGGGUAAGUUCCGACCCGCACGAAAGGCGUAACGAUUUGGGCACUGUCUCAACGAGAGACUCGGUGAAAUCAUAGUACCUGUGAAGAUGCAGGUUACCCGCGACAGGACGGAAAGACCCCGUGGAGCUUUACUGUAGCCUGAUAUUGAAAUUCGGCACAGCUUGUACAGGAUAGGUAGGAGCCUUUGAAACGUGAGCGCUAGCUUACGUGGAGGCGCUGGUGGGAUACUACCCUAGCUGUGUUGGCUUUCUAACCCGCACCACUUAUCGUGGUGGGAGACAGUGUCAGGCGGGCAGUUUGACUGGGGCGGUCGCCUCCUAAAAGGUAACGGAGGCGCUCAAAGGUUCCCUCAGAAUGGUUGGAAAUCAUUCAUAGAGUGUAAAGGCAUAAGGGAGCUUGACUGCGAGACCUACAAGUCGAGCAGGGUCGAAAGACGGACUUAGUGAUCCGGUGGUUCCGCAUGGAAGGGCCAUCGCUCAACGGAUAAAAGCUACCCCGGGGAUAACAGGCUUAUCUCCCCCAAGAGUUCACAUCGACGGGGAGGUUUGGCACCUCGAUGUCGGCUCAUCGCAUCCUGGGGCUGUAGUCGGUCCCAAGGGUUGGGCUGUUCGCCCAUUAAAGCGGUACGCGAGCUGGGUUCAGAACGUCGUGAGACAGUUCGGUCCCUAUCCGUCGUGGGCGUAGGAAAUUUGAGAGGAGCUGUCCUUAGUACGAGAGGACCGGGAUGGACAUACCUCUGGUGUACCAGUUGUCGUGCCAACGGCAUAGCUGGGUAGCUAUGUGUGGACGGGAUAAGUGCUGAAAGCAUCUAAGCAUGAAGCCCCCCUCAAGAUGAGAUUUCCCAACUUCGGUUAUAAGAUCCCUCAAAGAUGAUGAGGUUAAUAGGUUCGAGGUGGAAGCAUGGUGACAUGUGGAGCUGACGAAUACUAAUCGAUCGAAGACUUAAUCAAAUU
rnacentral:rRNA from 1 species